GCCGCCCUAGCUUAGUUUGGUAGAGCAUCCGACUGUUAAUCGGACGGUCGCUAGUUCAAGUCUGGCGGGCGGCG
rnacentral:tRNA from 2 species